CCUACGGGAGGCAGAAGUGAGGAAUAUUGGUCAAUGGACGAGAGUCUGAACCAGCCAAGUAGCGUGAAGGAUGACUGCCCUAUGGGUUGUAAACUUCUUUUAUAUGGGAAUAAAACGUUCCACGUGUGGGAUUUUGUAUGUACCAUAUGAAUAAGGAUCGGCUAACUCCGUGCCAGCAGCCGCGGUAAUACGGAGGAUCCGAGCGUUAUCCGGAUUUAUUGGGUUUAAAGGGAGCGUAGGUGGAUUGUUAAGUCAGUUGUGAAAGUUUGCGGCUCAACCGUAAAAUUGCAGUUGAAACUGGCAGUCUUGAGUACAGUAGAGGUGGGCGGAAUUCGUGGUGUAGCGGUGAAAUGCUUAGAUAUCACGAAGAACUCCGAUUGCGAAGGCAGUUCACUGGACUGCAACUGACACUGAGGCUCGAAAGUGUGGGUAUCAAACAGGAUUAGAUACCCUAGUAGUC
rnacentral:rRNA from 1 species